rnacentral:rRNA from 1 species
UACGUAGGGUGCGAGCGUUGUCCGGAAUUAUUGGGCGUAAAGAGCUCGUAGGCGGUCUGUCGCGUCGGCUGUGAAAACCCGGAGCUCAACUCCGGGCCUGCAGUCGAUACGGGCAGACUGGAGUUCGGCAGGGGAGACUGGAAUUCCUGGUGUAGCGGUGAAAUGCGCAGAUAUCAGGAGGAACACCGGUGGCGAAGGCGGGUCUCUGGGCCGAUACUGACACUGAGGCGCGAGAGCGUGGGGAGCAAACAGG